AAAAAUCAAUAAUACAGCAGUCAACAUUGUGCUUUAAUCCGUAUCACUAAAAUAAACAUACACACAUGUAACCAAGAAGCACAAAAUGACAUAUAGUAAAAAUUAAAGUCAAGAAUACACAAAUUAACAAUAGUACAAUAAAACAAUGACGGGAUGUAUAAGUACAGAUCCACGUCAUAUAUGUAACGAAGAAACAUAAAAAGGCA
rnacentral:lncRNA from 1 species